rnacentral:rRNA from 1 species
AUACGAGGGGGGCAAGCGUUGUUCGGAAUAACUGGGCGUAAAGCGCACGUAGGCGGAAUGUUAAGUUAGAGGUGAAAUCCCAGGGCUCAACCCUGGAACUGCCUUUAAUACUGGCAAUCUAGAGACCGAGAGAGGUGAGUGGAAUUCCGAGUGUAGAGGUGAAAUUCGUAGAUAUUCGGAGGAACACCAGUGGCGAAGGCGGCUCACUGGCUCGGUACUGACGCUGAGGUGCGAAAGCGUGGGGAGCAAACAGGAUUAGAAACCCUAGUAGUCC